rnacentral:rRNA from 1 species
GAACGCUGGCGGCAGGCUUAACACAUGCAAGUCGAGCGCCCCGCAAGGGGAGCGGCAGACGGGAGAGUAACACGUGGGAACGUACCCUUUGGUUCGGAACAACCCAGGGAAACUUGGGCUAAUACCGGAUACGUCCGUAAGGAGAAAGAUUUAUCGCCAAGGGAUCGGCCCGCGUCUGAUUAGCUAGUUGGUGAGGUAACGGCUCACCAAGGCUACGAUCAGUAGCUGGUCUGAGAGGAUGAUCAGCCUCAUUGGGACUGAGACACGGCCCAAACUCCUACGGGAGGCAGCAGUGGGGAAUAUUGGACAAUGGGCGCAAGCCUGAUCCAGCCAUGCCGCGUGGGUGAUGAAGGCCCUAGGGUUGUAAAGCCCUUUCGGCGGGGAAGAUAAUGACGGUACCCGCAGAAGAAGCCCCGGCUAACUUCGUGCCAGCAGCCGCGGUAAUACGAAGGGGGCUAGCGUUGCUCGGAAUCACUGGGCGUAAAGCGCACGUAGGCGGCUUCUUAAGUCAGGGGUGAAAUCCUGGAGCUCAACUCCAGAACUGCCUUUGAUACUGAGGAGCUUGAGUCCGGGAGAGGUGAGUGGAACUGCGAGUGUAGAGGUGAAAUUCGUAGAUAUUCGCAAGAACACCAGUGGCGAAGGCGGUUCACUG